CGUUUGAUCCAUUUUUUUAUAGACAACUCUUAUCGCUAGCUGAUCGUUUCUGUAGCAAAUAAAUAGCUAACUAGCACUGCCAUCUAACGUAAAAAAACAACACUAAUAGGAGGGAUUUGAAUAGACCACGCCUUCAACGAAGGAGGAGUCCACUACAUAUUGAAUUUAUCGAUCGAUUGUUAGGCCCAUUUCGAUCGCUACUGUACAGUCAAUGGCGGCAUGGCGGAGACGCGCAUUGGAACUUGGAAGUGGAUGCAUGUGAGACUUGAUGUGGCGUUGCAUGUGGGAGGCUCCGUUGGUAAUGUUCGCAGACUGGUCAUUUGAUGAUACGUGUGAACAGUGGUAGUGCUUGGGUGCCUCAAGAGGGAAUCGCAGAACAUAGCCAUAGAGCUAAAAGUCAUAGAAGAUUUUUAAACUGUUAUUUGAUUUUGUGUUGUUUCAGCAGUAUUAUGUCCUUCAACAAUAUAUUAUGUCCAAACAUGGAAUGAGUCGCAUGUGACUAAGUCAACCAAAUGUGGCAACAACAAUUAGUCAGCAAUGGAAUUAGUCAGUGGAAAACAACACAUUCAUUCCUGAGGAUGGUUUUGAGUUUAUCUAUGCUUAUUGCCAACUGGAAGGAUUCCUCUUUUUACAGAACUUUACCAUUUUCAUGGUAUACUUAACUGCUUGUCAGCGGAUUGUCACUUGGCAUCAUUAGAAUGGUAUGGUCCAUAUCAGCAGUGUUAUGAUGCACUUCUUAAAUACACCAAUCCCUCAGAAAAUAUUCGAAUUGAAAUUAUGGAAAUUUCUGCCCUUCAUGCAGAACUGCACAAUGAUGGGUUCGUAUAAACAAGCUUCAAAUGACAAACCAACAGUAUUUUUGGUUCGGCUUACACAUGCAGCUCUAUGACAUGUUGAUGUUAGCUGAAUUGUUAUUAAUCAUAGGGGUAGGUAGUAUGAAAUGAAAUAUCUUCUCUUGGAUGUUUUUUGUCUAUGUAUUUGUUUGAGAUGACUCUUGAUGCAGGAAGCUUUUCCUGCUUCUUACAAAAAGGGACAUUGGAUGCCUUAAUGUCUAAUACCAACCAAGUGUCAUUGCAAAGAUAGGUCAAAGAUAUAUUAAUAUAGAUUACACUCUGAGUGAUGGUGACAUGGUAAAAAGAGAGAGCAGUAUGAAUAUUUGCUGCAUCAUUUACUUCUAUUAUUUAUAUCUUCAAGGUAUCUUACUGAUUUCUAUUGGUUUUAUUUGUGGAAAGAAUAUCUUGAGCGGGAGAAUUGGAUCACAAUUGACUAGAUGUUUUACUAUUUUAAAUGAGUUUAUCACAAAGAAUUUUUUACUGAUUCAUGUUCUGUUUCUGUAAUGUAGGUAGAAUAAUCGCAAUGCCGUGGUAGUAAUUCGCGAGAGAUAUGCCAAUAGGGUUUCGCUGUUUUCAAUUCGCAAUCGUAAUGGAUUUGAAGAGGAUAUUGAUGGAGUUUUGGUAUAAAAAAGUACAUGUUCGUUGGAAGGGCACCGAAGAGUUCCGGAUCCUUUUACUAUCGCACAUGUUAUGGUAUUUUUACAAAAAUCAUUGAAGUGCUUAUUUGGAACCCCUUGUUUUCUGUGGCCCCGUUUCCCCCUUGACUUAUAUUAUUUUCUUUAACCCUUUAGUGCGUGUAAAACUAAAGACUAAAAGAAGAAGAAUGAUUCAAAAACUGUGGGAGAGAAUCAUCAAAGAAUUAUACUCGUUUAGGUAAUCCUUUCGGAUUCGAUUCCGCCGUUUGUGCUGCCCUUUUCUCUAAAGCACUUCUACAGAGUGACGACUCGUCGCGAGUGCAUGACAUCCAUAUCGAUAACGGUUUCCCGCGUAAAGACGAAUCCGAGCAAGUCGUCACUAGUUUACAGCAACUCCGGCUCAAUCUUCGGAGCUCUUUUCCAGACAGUGGCUUCUCAUUUCUAUCGUCAUACCAGCGAUCAGAUUUGAUGUUUGGAAUUGUUUUGGGUUGCUAAAGCAAGAUUGACUUUCUACGAUACUUCCACCAACGUGCAUGGUCGCCAAACUUUGUCGUUGUGUCGGACUGUAAAUCCGGAAGAUAAACGUCGAAUUAUUGGCGAUAUGUUUGUCAAAGUGAUAAUUAGAACGGCUAACGAUUUAAAUGUCACUUGGGAUAAUCUACUUCUCGGACAAGUUUCUUUGAGACCUGAUUUAAUUGGGGCCGCUUCGCAUAUGGCUUCUUCGCGCGUUGAUGCCAUAAAGACUCAUCAUAACGAUUCCGAAAUGGUUCGUCAGUUGCGCAUUUACGGUCGUGUAGUAGAACCUUUUAAAGAUUUCAUUUCCAUAAAGAUGAAGUAAGGUCUUAGGUUGUGGGCUGGGUCUGUCCACAGUAUUACUGGAAUGUCACCCGUUUCCUGGUCCUGGUUAUAUAUUUAUAUUUAGUUAUAUUAUUAUUCGUAAAAUCCAGAGGUGUUCUUCACUUUACAGGGGAUUGAUUGAUGAUACUUGUUGAUUAAUCCAUGAAGAAUGGAUAAGUGGAGGGUAAUAAAAGUUAAAUAAUGUAAUUCCUGGUGGCAUUUUCAUUCACGCAUACGAAGCAGCUCGGGAGCAGACGAACCAUUGAAAGGGCCUUGCGUAGUCUAGCUGCAUCCAGCCAGAUACUAGUAGAACCCAAAACAUUGUUUUGACAAGUACUGUCAUAUUUCGGUUGCAGGUUUUCACUAAAUAUCAAGGUGUGGUAGCUAUUAUUCCGUGUUUUUCUUGCUUUCAACACUACAGGCUUAUCCUACGAGCUACGACAGUUUUACCUACAAAUGUUUAGCCGUUUCGUGCUGCAACUAGUAGUCUAUUUUCUAGGAUGAAAUGCCUAAAAUUGGAAUUCAGCUAUCAGAGAUUAACAAAAUUCAAGUUCUUAAAAGCAAGUAUUGUACCUCUUUCAACAUUCAAAAUAAAAUAUAAUUUUUGGUUCUAGGCCGAAACUCUAGAUGGCGUUUUUGUGCGUUUAUGAUGAAGAUUAUGAGUGACAAGUUAAAUGGGUGUUUGUUACGUUACGCUGUUAUGUGUUUAAAAGGAUUUUUCGUCAAAAAAUAUACGAUUGCUUUUUGUCUGUGUUGGUGUUUCGCUUUGUCAGCUAUGCUAGCUACUGAACCAGCAGCCUGCAUUCCUGCUAUCAAUGUACCACAAGAGAUCCUGACACUUUGAGAAGGCCACUAUUGCUUACAUGAAGAUCACCAUCCAGUUGAAGUACUGUUAAUGGACCUCAAGCCUUUUGUUUAAGCUUAGUGAUGUGUUCUCUCGUCAGUCAACGGCAGAGUCUUCAUCUACUUUGUGUUGCUAACCAUCCACCCUCAGCAUCCCAGGUAUCCAGAUUUCCAAGUUUCUCUGAUUAGCCAACCAUCAACCCUUCAGCUCUUCAAUGUGGCUUCUCUUCCUCUCUUCUUAAUGUGCUGAAUGCCAACAUUGAAUAAGAUUCAUCAUCAUUGCCUUUCCAUGCCAGCUCACAUGGAUAGGCUUUAACAGCAUCUCCAUUUUUUGGACUGCAAAUAUUCAUCUUCCUUCGGUACGACACUGCCGUUUUGGCAAUUUCGGCAGUUUCGCCCCCAGUGGACCACACGCAACUACAUUUUCUUCGUCUUCCUGUCGUUGUUGUCUACGACUUCACCUCAUCGCUGUCUUCGUUGAUGUCUUCGCCUUCAUCUCCGUCUCGUCGUCUUAGUCGUCUUCUCCUUCAUCUCCGUCUCGUCGUCUUAGUCGUCUUCUCCUUCAUCUCCGUCUCGUCGUCUUAGUCGUCUUCUCCUUCAUCUCCGUCUCGUCGUCGUAGUCAUCUUCGCCUUCACCUCCGUCUCUGCGUCUUCGCCUUCACCUCCGUCUCGGCGUCUUCGCCGUCUUUGUCUACGCCAUCACCUCGUCGCCGGCCUCUCUUUCGCCCUUCACGUUGGGAAUUCACCGUUGAUCUUCGCUCUGGUAUUGUUUUGUUUUACAUUAUUAUGUUUAAGUUAACCCGUUGGCUGCCACCCCGUUUGCGUCCCAUUUUUUUGUAGCUUGUAGGGACCGGCCGCAAUGGCCUUCGCCGCAAGGCGCCU